AGUGAACGCUGGCGGUAGGCCUAACACAUGCAAGUCGAACGGCAGCACAGUAAGAGCUUGCUCUUACGGGUGGCGAGUGGCGGACGGGUGAGGAAUACAUCGGAAUCUACUUUUUCGUGGGGGAUAACGUAGGGAGACUUACGCUAAUACCGCAUACGACCUACGGGGGAAAGCAGGGGAUCUUCGGACCUUGCGCGAUUGAAUGAGCCGAUGUCGGAUUAGCUAGUUGGCGGGGUAAAGGCCCACCAAGGCGACGAUCCGUAGCUGGUCUGAGAGGAUGAUCAGCCACACUGGAACUUAGACACGGUCCAGACUCCUACGGGAGGCAGCAGUGGGGAAUAUUGGACAAUGGGCGCAAGCCUGAUCCAGCCAUACCGCGUGGGUUAAGAAGGCCUUCGGGUUGUAAAGCCCUUUUGUUGGGAAAGAAAAGCAGCAGGUUAAUACCCCGCUGUUCUGACGGUACCCAAAGAAUAAGCACCGGCUAACUUCGUG
rnacentral:rRNA from 1 species